rnacentral:rRNA from 1 species
CAGCAGCCGCGGUAAUACGAGGGGGGCAAGCGUUGUUCGGAAUUAUUGGGCGUAAAGGGUGCGUAGGCGGUUCAGCAAGUCUCGUGUGAAAUCUUCGGGCUCAACCCGAAGUCUGCACGGGAAACUACUGGGCUUGAGUAAUGGAGAGGUGAGUGGAAUUUCCGGUGUAGCGGUGAAAUGCGUAGAUAUCGGAAGGAACACCUGUGGCGAAAGCGGCUCACUGGACAUUUACUGACGCUGAUGCACGAAAGCUAGGGGCGCAAACAGGAUUAGAUACCCCCGUAGUCCCUGUCUCUUAUAC